AAUAACCCUAGAAGCACUGCGAAGGUGACUGCUGUGUCCCAUUUGCAUCAGUCGGCAGCAGAGAGGAGGGUAGCUAGUCUAAGCUCAGUGUUCAGACCUGUGAAUACCUAAAUGAAUAGUAGCCUAACUGU